UUUUAUCUCAGUAGGGCCCUAACCUUCCUCGUCACUACCCGACCGAGGUUAGGCUUGGCACUUACUGAGUAUCGCUAUGGUGUGCUCACGCCUCUUCUGUGCAUGUUUUUCAUGUGCAGAUCUAGGUACUUCCUCCUAGAUGUAUCAUCCUCGUGGUGGAGAGUUCUAGCUGAGACUUGAGGUAUAUCUGCUACGUCUACAUACUGGGAGUCUCUAUUCUAUUCCUGCUUUAGCAGAUAGUUCCUUUCUUUCCCUUCAUGUUGUUUAGACAUUCUGGUGUAGAGCAGAUUAUUACAUUCUAUUAGCCUGUGUUGCUCGUGAGUUUUCAGUUUUUGGGAUUUGUUUUAGAUUUGUGAUGUUAAGCUAUAUAUGCCGAGCUACAUUCAGUACAAUUUCCUUUGAAGAUAUUUAAUUUGGGGUUUUCUAUUUUUCGCAAUUAUUUAUUUCUUCAAAUGUUAGGCUUACCUGGUCGUGGGGACUGGAUGCCGUCAUGACAUGUUCAUGGUUGGUGAACUAGGGUCGUGGCAGAUGAUGAUACCCACAGAGGCGUAUGUUUUAAAAAGUUUAUUUAUACAAACACAUGUAUCAUGCAUUUCAAGUUAGUAGCCCUCAGAGGUACACAGAUGUUACAAGUUAUAUAUUCU
rnacentral:lncRNA from 1 species